rnacentral:rRNA from 1 species
AAUGGACUCUCAGCAACGGAUAUCUUGGCUCUUGCAACGAUGAAGAACGCAGCGAAAUGCGAUACCUAGUGUGAAUUGCAGAAUUCCGCGAAUCAUCGAGUUUUUGAACGCAAGUUGCGCCCGAGGCUCUUACCGAGGGCAUGUCUGUCUGAGCGUCCUUG